rnacentral:rRNA from 1 species
UACGGGGGGAGCAAGCGUUGUUCGGAUUUACUGGGCGUAAAGGGCGCGUAGGCGGCGCAACAAGUCACUUGUGAAAUCUCCGGGCUUAACCCGGAGAGGCCAAGUGAUACUGUCGUGCUAGAGUGCGGAAGGGGCUACUGGAAUUCUCGGUGUAGCGGUGAAAUGCGUAGAUAUCAGGAGGAACACCGGUGGCGAAGGCGGGACUCUGGGCCGAUACUGACGCUGAGGAGCGAAAGCGUGGGGAGCAAACAGG